rnacentral:rRNA from 1 species
UAAACUAGGAUUAGAUACCCUAUUAUUGAAAAUGUAAAUUUAUUUAAUAUUAGAUUAUUAUUAGUUAUGUGCUUGAAAUUUAAAGAAUUUGGCGGUAUUUUAGUCUUUUCAGAGGAACCUGUUCUAUAAUUGAUAUUCCACGAUUAAUUUUACUUAUUUUAUAGGUUUAUAUAUCGUCGUUAUUUGAAUAUUUUAUAAGAAUUUUAAUAUUCAGGAUUUAUAAUAAUAAUAAAAAAAAUCAGAUCAAGGUGUAGCGAAUAAAUAAGGAGAAAUGGGUUACAAUAAAUGUAUUUAAAUGGUUAAGAUAAUUAACAUUAUUUUAUAAAGUGGAUUUGAAUGUAAUAUGAUUUAGUUAAUUUAUAUGAAUAUAGCUCUAAAAUAUGCACAUAUCGCCCGUCGCUCCCAUUUUAAGGUGGGAUAAGUCGUAACAAAGUAGGCGUACUGGAAAGUGUGCCUAGAUUGAUCAAAUUAGAGCUUGUUAUAAAGUAUUUUAUUUACAUUAAAAAGUUAGUUGUGUGAAUCAAUUUAAUUUGAUAUUGAAAAAUUUAUUUAUUUUUAUGAAAAAAAAAUAGUUUUUUUAUUAAGUAUUUUUUAGAAUAGUAAGUUUAAAUUAUAUAUUAUAAGUAUAGUGAUAGAUUAUUGAAAUAUAAUAUUUAUUUUAAUAAAAGAAUAAUUAAGUUUUUGUACCUUGUGUAUCAGGGUUUAUUAAAAAUAUUUUAUAUAAUUAAUAUUCUCGAAUUUUUAAGAGUUAAUAAUUUAUAUAUUUAAUUGUGAUAUAAAUUUUUAUAAUAAAUUAUUAGAAAUGAAACGUUAGUCGUUUAAAAAGAUAUCUAGUUAUUUAAGAAAUAAAUUUAAUUUAUUUAUUUAAAUAUAUAGUUUUAAUUUUUUAAUAUUAUAUUUUAAAUAUAAAAUAUUUUAAGGGAUAAGCUUUAAAGUAAAUUUAUUAGAAAUUAUUUGAUAUAAAAAAUAAAUAGAAUUAGAAAUUUUAAUUUUUUAGUUUGUUAUAAUUAAUUUUUUUUAUUAUAUGAUUUAUAUUAAUUUUAAUUUUUUUAUUAAAUUGAUUUAUUAAGUUAAAUUUUAUAUGUAAUAAUGAUAAAAUUAGUAUAAUUUAUUUUAUAGAUAAAUUAGUUUAUUUAGGUUAAAUUAAGGAAUUCGGCAAAAUAAUUUUUCGCCUGUUUAUUAAAAACAUGUCUUUUUGAUUAUAAUUUAAAGUCUGACCUGCCCACUGAGGAUUUAAAUGGCCGCGGUAUUUUGACCGUGCAAAGGUAGCAUAAUAAUUAGUUUUUUAAUUGAAAGCUGGAAUGAAUGGUUGGACGAGAAAAUAGCUGUCUUAGUUUUAUUUUAUUAGAAUUUUAUUUUUAAGUUAAAAAGCUUAAAUAAUUUUAAAAGACGAGAAGACCCUAUAGAGUUUAAUAUUAAUUAAUAUUAUUAUUAUAUAGAAAUUUUAUUUAAUAAUAAUAGUUAGUAUUUUGUUGGGGUGACAGAAAAAUUUGAUUAACUUUUUUUAAAAUAUAAUCAUUAAUUUAUGUUUGAUUGAUCCAUUAUUUAUGAUUAAAAGAUUAAAUUACCUUAGGGAUAACAGCGUAAUUAUUUUUUAGAGUUCUUAUCGAAAAAAUAGUUUGCGACCUCGAUGUUGGAUUAAAAUUAACUUUUGGUGCAGAAGCUAUAGGGUUAGGUCUGUUCGACCUUUAAAAUUUUACAUGAUCUGAGUUCAAACCGGAGA